AUUGAACGCUGGCGGCAUGCCUUACACAUGCAAGUCGAACGGCAGCGGACCUUCGGGUGCCGGCGAGUGGCGAACGGUGAGUAAUGCAUCGGAACGUGCCAUUGAGUGGGGGAUAACGUAGCGAAAGUUGCGCUAAUACCGCAUAUUCUGUGAGCAGGAAAGCAGGGGACCGCAAGGCCUUGCGCUCUUUGAGCGGCCGAUGUCAGAUUAGCUAGUUGGUGAGGUAACGGCUUACCAAGGCGACGAUCUGUAGCGGGUCUGAGAGGAUGAUCCGCCACACUGGAACUGAGACACGGUCCAGACUCCUACGGGAGGCAGCAGUGGGGAAUUUUGGACAAUGGGGGCAACCCUGAUCCAGCCAUGCCGCGUGAGUGAAGAAGGCC
rnacentral:rRNA from 1 species